UUAGGGGAAGGUUAAUAGCAAAUGAGUGCGCUUUAUUUUGUAGAGAGUUCCCUCCCCACUUUUAUCAAUUGCUUUUGCUUUCGUCAUAAUUAUACCUGUCUACCCACCAUCACCACCAUGGAUCCUUCUUGGUUUCUUCCACUACCUACGUUUUAAACCAUUCUUCGUCCCCCAAGACUUUCUCACUUUUCCACAGUUGAAAACUCAGAGACAACACAGAGUGUCUCCAAUGCCACGCCCCGGCAAGAAUUGAGGGUACUCUGCCCUCUGUAAAUUUCUGUAGAUAUGAUCGUGCAGUAGUUCAAGGGAAGAGAAUGGACAAGAGGUUUUUCAAUCUCAGGUUUUCUGUGAGGUGAAUUACCAUCCUUGGCAUUGUUGACUUGAUGUUCUGCUGGCAAGUUAUUAACAUUGUGGAUGUUCUGAACCAGUACAGCAAAAGGAGCUCUCAGCUGCUGAUUCGUUGUUCCACAUUGUUUAUGUGAUCUGUCUCUUAAGUUGUAAUUUUCUGUGAGAUCAGGGAUGUAGGUCCUCCUGGAUGGCAAAAAGAAAUGAGUCAUACACCAUGUUAAGCAAAAAUGUGAAUGACAUUUGUUCAUAAACACUCAACGUUUACUGUACCUCAUCUUCUUUAUAGGUUCUGCAGUCUCUGAAACUCCAUCUGUGUUGGACCCAUUUUGGGGUAUGACCCUCUUGUUGUUUGAAUUGAUAUAUGAACAAGCAUUCUCUUUUGCUAGGGCUUCA